rnacentral:rRNA from 1 species
GACGUAGGGCGCGAGCGUUGUCCGGAUUUAUUGGGCGUAAAGAGCUCGUAGGCGGCUUGUCGCGUCCGGUUGUGAAAGCCUUGGGGCUCAACCCCAAGUCUGCAGGUGGAUACGGGCAGGCUAGAGUCAGGUAGGGGCAGAGGGAAUUCCGUGGUGUAGCGGUGAAAUGCGUAGAGAAUCAGGAAGAACAUCGGUGGCGAAGGCGCUCUGCUGGACCAUAACUGACGCUGAGAAGCGAAAGCAUGGGGAGCGAACAGGAUUAGAU